rnacentral:snRNA from 1 species
GUGCUCGCUUCGGCAGCACAUAUACUAAAAUCGGAACGAUACAGAGAAGAUUAGCAUGGCCCGUGCGCAAGGAUGACACGCAAAUUCGGGAAGCAAAUUCUA